CUAUGUACCCAUAAUCCUUCAUUUGGCCUUUCUUCCGCUAAAGCCAAGAUGAAGGUCGAGCUGUGUAAUUUUAGUGGGCUGAAAAUCCACCCUGGCCAUGGCCGUCGAUACGCCAGAAUCGACGGAAA